GGGAAGUGAAAGGAAAUGAUAAGAGAGGAAAGGAAAUGAGAAGAGAGGAAAGGAAAUUAAUCUAAUUUCCUUUGUUUUAGAUGAUGAAGGGAAAAAGAGGAGAAGGGAAAGAAAUGAGAGGAAAUUACCCCACCUAAUAUUUCCUUCCAAAAUGCAGAGAAACAGAAGGAAGUAUAACUUUCUAACUUAUAUUUUUUUGGUUUUCCAUUUAUAUCCUCUUAUCAAUAUAAAUAGAAAUAUUAUUUAACAUAAAUUUUACUUUCAAAUUACUUCCUUUUCUUUUCCUCUCACAAAUUCUUAUCUUUUUUAUUGCCC
rnacentral:misc_RNA from 1 species